rnacentral:rRNA from 1 species
GACAGAGGGUGCAAACGUUGUUCGGAAUUACUGGGCGUAAAGCGCGUGUAGGCUGCUUUGCAAGUCGGAUGUGAAAGCCCCGGGCUCAACCUGGGAAGUGCACUCGAAACUGCAGAGCUCGAGUCCUGGAGAGGAAGGCGGAAUUCUCGGUGUAGAGGUGAAAUGCGUAGAUAUCGCCUGGAACGCCAAAGGUGAAAACAGACAGCUGGGAGUGUGCUGACGCUGAGACACGAAAGCCAGGGGAGCGAACGGG